GAUGAAGAACGUAGCGAAAUGCGAUAAGUAAUGUGAAUUGCAGAAUUCAGUGAAUCAUCGAAUCUUUGAACGCACAUUGCGCCCGUUAGCAUUCUAGCGGGCAUGCCUGUCCGAGCGUCAUUUCAACCCUCAGGGUCCCCGUUCCGGCGGGGAACCUGGUGUUGGGGAUCGGCCCGCCCCGUGCGGCGCCGUCCCCCAAAUUCAGUGGCGGUCUCGCUGCAGCCUCCCCUGCGUAGUAGUUACAACCUCGCAUCGGAGCUCAGCGCGGCCACGCCGUAAAACCCCCGACUUUCUGAACGUUGACCUCGGAUCAGGUAGGAAUACCCGCUGAACUUAAGCAUAUCAAUAGCGGAGGA
rnacentral:misc_RNA from 1 species